CUAAACUAAAUAGUCAAACUGUUUGGAAAUGGUUUGACAACAUGCCUGGGGUCGACCUGAUGCUGGUUACAUCUUCCAGUGAAAGCCGGGGGCUACUGCGUGGAGCGUCCAUUAGCUCUCCUGAGCUAAAGACCCAUGUAGGGUUAUCUGAUCACAGUCAGCCAAUGAGCUACGUUAUGCACUGCCAGGCUUAGCUCUCAUGGAGGAGGUGACGAGCUCUGUGCGAAAAAGUGUGAAAAACUGAGCAAAAGUUUGACUGCUUGCAUUGGGGAGGUGGAUCCAGGGCACUCCUCACACCAUAACCACUACAACGUGCUGUAGUGAUUAUGGUGCUUGGACUUUUACG